rnacentral:lncRNA from 1 species
UUCUUUUUUUGAUCAAUGAGUUAAAGAUUGGUGGUUAGCCUUGAUGUAUGGGAGGUUUAACCUUCCUUGAUUCAAAUCUAAUUCAUCUUGAUCAUAGAUCAAGUGAAUGGCUUUGCGUUAAGGAUAUGUUGCUUCCUAAUCAAGCAAAGAACCUAAAUCAAUACAAGAUCAUUUCUCAUCUUCUUUUGGCAUGGCAAGUUGAAG